AACAUCCUGCGGUGUGCGUAACUUAUUUAUGUCUAAAACCGAUGAUAGUAAUACGGAAGUUCGAUAUUUAGGGACCAACAUCAUGCCUUUCUUUGAGAAGGAAGAUGAAGGUAACUGUGAGAACAUCCACCUGCGAGUAGCGGGUUUUUGGACAUUUACGAGGGACGGCACGUGCGGGGUUCUA
rnacentral:other from 1 species